UACAGAGGUCCCGAGCGUUGUUCGGAUUCACUGGGCGUAAAGGGUGCGUAGGUGGCCUAAAAAGUUUGAUGUGAAAGCUCAGGGCUUAACCCUGAAAUGGCAUUGAAUACUGUUGGGCUGGAGGUUUGGAGGGGGGACUGGAAUUCUUGGUGUAGCAGUGAAAUGCGUAGAUAUCAAGAGGAACACCAGUGGCGAAGGCGAGUCCCUGGACAACACCUGACACUGAGGCACGAAAGCCCGGGGGAGCAAACAGG
rnacentral:rRNA from 1 species